rnacentral:rRNA from 1 species
UACACUCCUACGGGAGGCAGCAGUGGGGAAUAUUGGACAAUGGGCGCAAGCCUGAUCCAGCCAUGCCGCGUGAGUGAUGAAGGCCCUAGGGUUGUAAAGCUCUUUCACCGGUGAAGAUAAUGACGGUAACCGGAGAAGAAGCCCCGACUAACUUCGUGCCAGCAGCCGCGGUAAUACGAAGGGGGCUAGCGUUGUUCGGAUUUACUGGGCGUAAAGCGCACGUAGGCGGACUAUUAAGUCAGGGGUGAAAUCCCGGGGCUCAACCCCGGAACUGCCUUUGAUACUGGUAGUCUUGAGUUCGAGAGAGGUGAGUGGAAUUCCGAGUGUAGAGGUGAAAUUCGUAGAUAUUCGGAGGAACACCAGUGGCGAAGGCGGCUCACUGGCUCGAUACUGACGCUGAGGUGCGAAAGCGUGGGGAGCAAACAGGAUUAGAUACCCCAGUAGUCCCA